GCAGAUCAGAAUGUAUAGAUGGAUAUAAUUAUCCUGAUGGUUCGAAAGAAAUAAUAACUACUUGCACUAAAAGUGAUGGUAAAUAUGACCCCGUAAAGGAAAUUCCUGAUUGUGAAAUCGCAGGUGUUGAAGAUACAGAAGACAAAAACUCCACUGAAGCAAACAUUUGAAUUUUAAGUCUUAUUUUAUUAAUUACGGAAAAUAUUAAUCAUUCUGAAUACUACAUUUAAUUUUAAUUGACAAAAAGUAAAAAAAAAAAUCGAAAUAUUGUGUAAUUUAACUUUUCAUUUAGUUAUUGAAAAUCUGUAAUCUCAUAUAAUAAAUUAUAUAUAUUAAUUCAAUUAAUAUCAUAUGUAAUGCACAAUGUUAACAAAAAUUUCACCCAGUUAAUUAUUUCAAAAGCUAAUAGGAAAAUAAUUGUAAACCUUUAGUUGAUGUGUACUAUGUCAGUCAUACUUUAAAAUGACCCAGUGUUAUCUAAUUAAAUGAUGAUGCAAAUUUCUAUUCUUUCAGCUCUUAUAUAGAAGAGGACGGUUGUCAUCUCAGCCCCUAAUGAAAAUAGGCAAAAUUAUCAAUUAUAUAUAUGUAGCACAUAAAAGUAUAUGUACAAUUUCUUUUUAGUCCAUUCCUAAAUAUUAAGUGGAAUCUUGGAACAGGUAAAUGAUUCACUGCAUAACACUCAAGGCGGUAGCAGUGCAUCACUCCGUAACACAAAGGCAAUUCAGGAGUGGUUGAACGUGUGAUUAUGUUUAGGUUAGUAAUGAUGUGGCUAUGCAAAUAAUCCGAUUCAAUAGAAAAUAUGAAAUACCGUUAAAUUAAACACACAAACAUCACAGACGUUUGUAUAUGCCGUUUAAUAUGACAUCUGUACAUGCCUGUACAUAAUAUGAUAUGGAUAUGAACAUUUUCAUAUCCGUAUUAAUGCUAACUUGAACCUAACUAUAUAUUUAACCAUUUCUUCAAGACAGCGGAUGGCCGCGCGGUUUAACGUGUUUAUCGCUCUGUGAGACCCGGGAAGGAAUCCAGAUAGGUCGAAAAACAUUAAUAAUUUUUCUUGGAUUGUCCGUCCCAAAUAUGUCAGGCUCAUCGCCUCUCCAUCCGGCCGUCCAAUUAAGACCCUAACUUAACUCUCGAUGAAUUUGAUUAAAAAAAAAGUCUUCCCAGCACCCACAGAGCGAAAAAAAUAACCAUUAAUACAUUGCAUUCGUGUUAUGCAGUGAUGCAUUUU